UACGUAGGGUGCGAGCGUUAAUCGGAAUUACUGGGCGUAAAGUGUGCGCAGGCGGCCGCGCAAGUCGAGUGUGAAAGCCCCGAGCUUAACUUGGGAAUUGCGCUCGAAACUACGUGGCUGGAGUGUGGCAGAGGAAGGUGGAAUUCCAGGUGUAGCGGUGAAAUGCGUAGAGAUCUGGAGGAACACCGAUGGCGAAGACAGCCUUCUGGGCCAACACUGACGCUCAUGCACGAAAGCGUGGGGAGCAAACAGG
rnacentral:rRNA from 1 species